AAGCGCCCUGCGCCGAGCCCUUGGCGAAGUAGACGCGCAAUAGCCUCCAGUUUAUAAAUUACGGCGCCUUCCUGUAAAAUAUCGCGUCAGAAUCUGUCCAACCUUCUAAACGUGAGAUAUUUUGCAUCCAUGGGAAUACACGCCAACGGAGGCCUGCUGCGUGUCCCUGAGACCCGCCGUGCAGUUUCGGCGACCAAAAGGAAGAGUCUCGCAAAGAAGGGCCCUCGUCGGACGGGAAGAACGAGGCCGCCCAUGGGAAAGUGCGCAGUUGGAUAUAAUGGACUCUUCCCAGAAGCGGAGACGGUUUUGCGAUGAAUUUUCGGGAACAUGGGAUUGAAUUGCAGGCGUUCUUUAGAUAAAAAUGAGCAUGUCGGGUACAGGGAUCGCUGGAGUAAUUGUGUAAUAAUUGUACAUUUCGUGAAACCAUGAUAGACGUGCAUAUACACAUGUAAGCGUUGAUCUAAUUGGAAUGGUAAUGGGCUCAACUUAAUUGUGCACUCACCUGCGUACACUACUAAUUAGAACAUGUGAUGUUUGCAAAACGCCAUAGGUCAAGGAUCAUCGCAUGCGAUUAAGACGUUGAAUUAUCUGAAGAAUUGUAAAAGUUAAUGGCUUAUUUUCCUCGAUUAAUGGGAGCGAAUAAAUUAUUCCAUUGUUUUGAGAAUGUGCUCGUCUCUGGUGACGAAUUUCAAUUAUUGCCGCUCAGGCGAAAUGUUCAAAUAGGGUCCUAUUGUAAGGUACUCUUGCGUGAUAAUAUCGAAUCUUGAGAAAAUGUUCGUUCCGGGAACCCUGUUGCGUGCCCUAGGGGGGAAAUGCUACGCAGUACUCCCAACGGGCAAUAAGAUUAAAAAGGGAGGAAGGACGGGUACAAAAGGGGGAAGGACAAGGUUAUCGAUACGAAAGUGCGCAGUUUAGCCAGCGGUGCGUUUCGGCAGAUGUGAAAACGGAAAUACGACGCAACUCUCGCCGGCACGGCUGCGGAACAAUGGUCCGCCAUUUUGACAAAGAGAGGGCUUAUGAAAGUGCAGGGACCCUAUGGUUCGGCAUAACGAGGGAAUCCAUGCUUUUUCCAUUCACUUAUUCGGGGAAAACUGAACAGUUCACUGAGCAAUCGUCUUCCAAAACGGAAAGUGGAAAGGGGAGGUCGAUGCACCGACAUGGCCGCUUGGAUGCACAUAUAUACUGCAACGACGGAGCAAGACGGUCACGGAACGUACUCGAAGCUUCCACUGUUUCUAACCGGGGACGGAAAACGUUUUGGAAAGCGUUUCCCUUUAUUUCCCGUUGCUGCACGCAACCAGGAACGGAAGUAUACGCUCGUCAACUCCGCUUGGCUUGGAUCUGCGGAAUCUCAAAAUUCUUCCCCCUGCAGCAUUCCGAGUGGCGAUGCAACCAGUUCCCUGAUUUCCUGCACCUCUUGUUUCUUGGCCAUGAACGCACACUUCGGCCAUAGCUUUGACCAUGGCCUCCUUUGUGUAUCUCACCAGAGGGCAAGAAGCGUCGCCACGUCACGUUUGACUCGAGACUCAGUUAAUCAGGAAAAGGAACUAAAUCGAGAGAAGACUGCGACCGCGAGAUAUAAUUUAAAUAAGUCUAACCUAAGAGUAAAUUAUGUAACGUGCGAAUGCGUAAUUUAUUGUAUUUAAAUAAGUUACCGCGAAAAGCAUUCUCAGAUAGCGAGUUAUCGCCUUUUGCUUCGACUGUUAUAUUCGUAUUUCGUUUUCGAGAUUUCGUAUACGAAAAAUCCAGUAUAGUUAUCUUGGUUUAGAAUAGUUUAGAGAUGAAUUUAAAUAGGAGGACUUGGUGGUUUUAGAUUGGGAGGAUUUUUUUGGAGUUUAAAGUGCGCCGUGGAACGGCUCGGGUAGUUUCCGUGGAGUUCUAGAACGUUUCAGCCCGGCGAAUCGAUACCUGCACCAGAAACUCCGCAUUAAUAUAGGUCUUUGGUAUAUAUGGUACUGCGCGUCAUGUCUUACCUUAAGAAGAAAAAUGUAUCGUGUCGAAUCGUGUGCAGGUUGAAAAAUGACCGCAAAUACUACUGAU